rnacentral:lncRNA from 10 species
CGGGUUCUCCCGCCCCCGCCCUGCCCAGCGCACCCGCACGCGCCGGAAUUUCCAGCGCCCGUGACUGGGCUGCGCGCGCCGCGGAGGCGGUGGGAAAGGCACGCGGCUCGUCCGGCGUCUCCUGGGGGCUUUGCCUGCGGGCGGGCAGGGAGGAAGACAGCUGGGGCCGUUUGCUCUACUACCUGCCCUGGCAUUAAGGGAACAAAGUGACCAAACCCAGUGCCAGCGUUUACUAAGCACCUACUACGUGCAAGGCACUGGGCAAUCCGAGAGGAAGAGGCCUCAGUCUCCAGGAAGGGUGGACCUUAAGAUGGAUUGGCUGGAAGGCGACAGCCCGAGCACAAGACAGACGCGUUAGAGGCCAAUACUAAGGUCAUUCAUUCUGCCAGAGUAUGGAGGAAGGCUUUCAGGAGUGGUCGCCAAGGUGGCCUUUCAGCUGGAUCCCGGAGGAGCGGAUAUAACCAGGAGGUGGGGAGGGUGUUUCUGUGAGCAAAGACUGGGAGGCCAGAGUACCUGGCUUGUUGCAGGAACUGGGAUAGGACAAUUUGAAUUUGGGAAGGGAUGCACUAUGAAACGUAGAAAGGUGGAUGGGUGCCUUCUUGGGCCCACUUGGCUAAAAGCAAACUUACAUUACUUAUCAUGGCUUAUUGAGUCCAAGGAGCCUUUUCAGUGUUUAUGUGAAAUUUAAGUAUUUAUGAAAUUAGAGACGCAGGUCAGCAUAUUUUUUCAAUGACUUCAUCACCAUCUUGCUGAGAACCAGACAUAGAAUAGCCCUUCUAGUCAUUAUUAUGGGCAUCUUCAAGAAAGAGGCAAAGACCACUUCAAAAAGAUCACAAAGGGCCAGGCGUGGUGGUUCACGCCUGUAAUCCUAGCACUUUGGGAGGCCGAGACGGGCAGAUCACCUGAGGCCAGGAGUUCGAGACCAGCAUGGCCAACAUGGUGAAAGCCCCGUCUCCACUAAAAAUACAAAAAGUAGCCGGGUGUGGUGGCUCACACCUGUAAUCCCAGCUACUCGGGAGGCUGAGGCAGGAGAAUAGCUUGAACCCCGCGGGGGGUUGCAGUGAGCCGAGAUCGCGCCAGGACACUCCAGCCUGGGCGAAAGGGCGAAACUCUGUCUCAAAAAAAAAAAUCACAGAGUAAUGAAGUUAAGUGGUUGGGGUGAGCUUGAAUGCUUUAUAUUUUUUAAUAUUUAAAACAACGUCAGCUGAGUACCAGGUGUGAAGAAGAGGUAAUGAGUGAAAAAAACCAAGAGAAAGGGGAGACUUGUUCCAACCGCAGAAUUUCCAGCUUCUGCAACGAGAGCUCGUACCUUCAGCCCCACUGCCUCUGCUCUAGGCUCUCCUCUGAUCCUCAGGACAUUUUUCCUCUCACUCUUUGAGAACUCGUUUACCUUCCUUUUCCAUCAAUGUCUGAUCACCCAGAGAAGGUGGGAGAAUAAAUACCAAGCACUGUGCCUUCCCUCAAGGAGCAUUUAAUCCAGUGUCACUGCUGACUUCCUGUGGAUAAUGCAAAGUUGGCUUACAAUAGUAAGGGAGACCACUAAAUUGACAGAAUCUUUGUAGCAUUUCAAAAGGGUGUCAGGCCUCUGAGCCCAAGCUAAGCCAUCGUAUCCCCAGUGACCUGCACAUAUACAUCCAGAUGACCUGAAGCAACUGAAGAUCCACAAAAAAAAUGAAAAUAGCCUUAACUGAUGACAUUCCAUCAUUGUGAUUUAUUUCUGCCCCAACCUAACUGAUCAGUGUACUUUGUAAUCUCCCCCACCCUUAAGAAGGUUCUUUAUAAUCUCCCCCAUCCUUAAGAAGAUUCCUUGUAACUCUCCCCACCCUUGAGAAUGUACUUUGUGAGAUCCACCCCCUGCCCCCAAACCAUUGCUCUUAACUCCACUGCCUAUCCCAAAACCUGUAAGAACUAAUGAUAAUCCACCACCCUUUGCUGACUCCUUUUUCAGACUCAGCCCGCCUGCACCCAGGUGAAAUAAACAGCCUUGUUUUUCACACAAAGCCUGUUUGGUGGUCUCUUCACACGGAC